rnacentral:rRNA from 1 species
CCUACGGGUGGCAGCAGUAGGGAAUAUUGCUCAAUGGGGGAAACCCUGAAGCAGCAACGCCGCGUGGAGGAUGAAGGUUUUCGGAUUGUAAACUCCUUUUGUUAGAGAAGAGAAGGACGGUAUGUAACGAAUAAGCACCGGCUAACUCCGUGCCAGCAGCCGCGGUAAUACGGAGGGUGCAAGCGUUACUCGGAAUCACGGGGCGAAACGAGCGCGGAGGCGGGAUCGCAAGUCAGAUGUGAAAUCCUAUGACUUAACCAUAGAACUGCAUUUGAAACUGUUAUUCUAGAGUAUGGGAGAGGUAGGUGGAAUUCUUGGUGUAGUGGUCAAAUCCGUAGAUAUCAAGAGGAAUACUCAUUGCGAAGGCGACCUGCUAGACCAUACCUGCCGCUGAUGCGCGAUCGCGUGGGGAGCAAACAGGAUUAGAUACCCCAGUAGUC